rnacentral:rRNA from 1 species
UACAGAGGUGGCAAGCGUUGUUCGGAAUUACUGGGCGUAAAGGGCGCGUAGGCGGCCUACUAAGUCAGACGUGAAAUCCCCCGGCUUAACCUGGGAACUGCGUCUGAUACUGGGUGGCUUGAAUCCGGGAGAGGGAUGCGGAAUUCCAGGUGUAGCAGUGAAAUGCGUAGAUAUCGUAAGGAAGACCAGUGGCGAAGGCGAAUCUCUGGACAGUUGCUGACACUGAGGCACGAAGGCCAGGGGAGCAAACGGG